CACGUGAGAAUUUACCUUUAGGAGGGGAAUAACAGUUGGAAACGACUGCUAAUGCCGCAUAUCAUAACUAUGAAAGAAGAAAUUCGCCUAAAGAAAAGCUUGCGUCUGAUUAGCUAGUUGGUAAGGGUAAAGGCCUACCAAGGCGACGAUCAGUAGCUGGUUUGAGAGGACGACCAGUCACACUGGAACUGAGACACGGUCCGGACUCCUACGGGAGGCAGCAGUGGGGAAUAUUGCACAAUGGGGGAAACCCUGAUGCAGCCAUGCCGCGUGUGUGAAGAAGGCCUUCGGGUUGUAAAG
rnacentral:rRNA from 1 species